rnacentral:ncRNA from 1 species
UUAAAAACUGUGAAAAAGUAAAGUAGCAUAAAGGAUAGUUUACAGAGAGAAAGGAAUUAGCUGAAAUCUUUUUAUCAAGAAUUUAUGUGAAGUGCACUUUGGAGUUGAAAUCUGAAUUGAGUUUUUUACUUAUAGUAAGAUUUUUCGGAAUCACCCGUUACAGUGAUGAUGCAUAGAUUUGUGCUAAAUUUGAGGGGAAUUAAAGUUUUAAUUCAAUUUAGAGUGGAAUCGCGGAUAUAACUUCGUCUCUAUA